CCCUCCAAUGAAGGCAUGUCUUCUGUUCUCUGCUUUGGAUAUGUAAGAAUUGGAGGGAAAGAAAUAUGAAUAAGGAGAAAUCUGGAGCUAGCUCCUUGCAGGCUCAAGAUCAACCACACCACAUAG
ensembl:snoRNA